rnacentral:rRNA from 1 species
AACGAACGCUGGCGGCAGGCCUAACACAUGCAAGUCGAGCGCACCUUUCGGGGUUAGUGGCGGACGGGUGAGUAACACGUGGGAACGUGCCCUUUUGUUCGGAAUAACCCAGGGAAACUUAUACUAAUACCGUAUGUGCCCUUCGGGGGAAAGAUUUAUCGCAAUUAGAGCGGCCCGCGUUGGAUUAGGUAGUUGGUGGGGGUAUGGCCUAACCAGGGCACCGACCAGUACUUGGUCUGGGGGGUGGACCAGCCAAAUGGGAACGGGGACACGGCCCAAACUCCUACGGGGAGAGGCGGGGGGGAAUCUUGCGCAAGGGGGGAAAGCCUGACGAAGCAAGGCGGGGGAAAUGUUGAAGGUCUUGGGAUGGUAAGAUUCUUUCGCCGGGGACGAUAUGGACGUAACAGGAGGAGGAGGCCCGGGCUAACUUCGUG